rnacentral:ncRNA from 1 species
UAAAGGUCUGGUCCUGGCUUUAACAUCACUUAUAAUCUAAUUUACACAUGCAAGUAUCUGCACACCCGUGAGAAUGCCCUACGCCCCUUACUUAUAGGGAUUAGGAGUUGGCAUCAGGCUCACCUAAGUAGCCCAAAACGCCUUGUUAAACCACACCCCCAAGGGAACCAGCAGUGAUAAACAUUAAGCCAUGAGGGAAAGCUCGACUUAAUUAAGAUUAACCUAAGCCGGUAAAAUUCGUGCCAGCCACCGCGGUUAUACGAAAGGCUUAAACUGAUGCAUCACGGCGUAAAGCGUGAUUAGAAUAUUUAACACAAUAAAGCCAAACGCACCCCCAACUGUAAUACGCCUCCGGGAGACAGAAAAUCUAUAACGAAAGUAGCUUUAACACCUUUGAAUUCACGAUAGUUAAGAAACAAACUGGGAUUAGAUACCCCACUAUGCUUAACCUUAAACAACGAUGCAUAUGCAUCCGCCAGGGUACUACAAGCUCUAGCUUAAAACCCAAAGGACUUGGCGGCACCUCAAACCCACCUAGAGGAGCCUGUCCUAUAAUCGAUAAACCCCGCUAAACCUUGCCUCCCCUUGCCAAAACCGCCUAUAUACCACCGUCGUCAGCUUACCUCUCAAGAGAAUGAUAGCGAGCCCAAUGAGUAAAACUCAAAACGUCAGGUCAAGGUGUAGCGUAUGAGGAGGAAUGAGAUGGGCUACAUUUUCUGAACCAGAAAACUACGAAUAGUAUAAUGAAAUAAAUACAUACAGAAGGUGGAUUUAACAGUAAAAGAGGAACAGAGAGCCCCUUUGAAGCUGGCCCUGAGGCGCGUACACACCGCCCGUCACCCUCCUCAAUCAAACCAAAUUAUUUAUAAUUACUUGACAUGAUAUUCAGAAGAGGCAAGUCGUAACAUGGUAAGCGUACCGGAAGGUGUGCUUGGAUAUAUU